CGCGGCCUAUCAGCUUGUUGGUGAGGUAAUGGCUCACCAAGGCGACGACGGGUAGCCGGCCUGAGAGGGUGACCGGCCACACUGGGACUGAGACACGGCCCAGACUCCUACGGGAGGCAGCAGUGGGGAAUAUUGCACAAUGGGCGAAAGCCUGAUGCAGCGACGCCGCGUGAGGGACGACGGCCUUCGGGUUGUAAACCUCUUUCAGUAGGGAACAAGGCAUCAUUUUUGUGGUGUUGAGGGUACUUGCAGAAGAAGCACCGGCUAACUACGUGCCAGCAGCCGCGGUAAUACGUAGGGUGCAAGCGUUAUCCGGAAUUAUUGGGCGUAAAGAGCUCGUAGGCGGUUUGUCGCGUCUGUCGUGAAAGUCCGGGGCUCAACUCCGGAUCUGCGGUGGGUACGGGCAGACUAGAGUGAUGUAGGGGAGACUGGAAUUCCUGGUGUAGCGGUGGAAUGCGCAGAUAUCAGGAGGAACACCGAUGGCGAAGGCAGGUCUCUGGGCAUUAACUGACGCUGAGGAGCGAAAGCAUGGGGAGCGAACAGGAUUAGAUACCCUGGUAGUCCAUGCCGUAAACGUUGGGCACUAGGUGUGGGGGACAUUCCACGUUUUCCGCGCCGUAGCUAACGCAUUAAGUGCCCCGCCUGGGGAGUACGG
rnacentral:rRNA from 1 species